UACAGAGGUCUCAAGCGUUGUUCGGAUUCAUUGGGCGUAAAGGGCGCGUAGGCGGGCGGGGUAAGUCGGGUGUGAAAUCUCAGAGCUCAACUCUGAAAUGGCACUUGAUACUGCUCUGCUAGAGGACUGGAGAGGAGAUUGGAAUUCACGGUGUAGCAGUGAAAUGCGUAGAUAUCGUGAGGAAGACCGGUGGCGAAGGCGGAUCUCUGGACAGUUCCCUGACGCUGAGGCGCGAAGGCCAGGGGAGCAAACGGG
rnacentral:rRNA from 1 species